rnacentral:rRNA from 1 species
UUAAAGUAUACAAUAGCAAAUCAGUUGAGUGAAUAAGAUUAAAAAUUUUAAACUUCCUAAGUUUUGAAGAUUAAUAUCUAGACUUAAGGAGUUAAUGUUCAGAGUUGAUUUCUUAAGGAGAGAAAUCUGUGUGCCAGCACUAGCGGUAAUACAUAGUUCCAUUUUAUUCUUUCUUAGAUUUUGUCUUCAUGAUGGUUAGUCUAGAGUUUAUUAGGUCUAAUUUUAAAUUUUUUAAUUUUUUGACAUGAGAAGUAGAAGAUUAAACUAGGAUUAGAAACCCUAUUAUUCCUACCAUUUGAAUUCUAGAGAUUAACAAUGGUCUGUGGCGGCUCUCUUACAAAUUAGAGAUCCAUGGAUCUAAUGGACAGCCCACCUAAAUCUUUCUAUAUUUAGUUAUACAUCUUUUAUAUCGCCGACUGAAAAAAAAAUCAUUAAUUUUUAUUUUGAUAGUUUAGACUUUUAAGUCAGGUAAAGAUGAAGAUUAUAGUAUUGAAAAUUUGUGGAUCAUAAAUUUUCAGGAAUUAACUAGUUGGAAUGCUAUAGAAAUGAAUUUAAAAGUAAAACUACUUAAUUAUAGUAAUUUGAAAAUUGUUAAAGAGAGUGUACAUACCGCCCGUCACUUCCCUAUAGGAAUAAGUCGUAACAUGGUUAAUCUACUGGAAGGUGGAAUAUA